UACGGAGGGUGCAAGCGUUGACCGGAAUCAUUGGGUGUAAAGGGUGCGUAGGCGGGAGCCUAAGUCGGAGGUGAAAUCUUGCCGCUUAACGGUAAAAUUGCCUUCGAUACUGGGUUUCUUGAGUGCAGAAGAGGUCGGUGGAAUUCGUAGUGUAGCGGUGAAAUGCAUAGAUAUCAGGAGGAACACCAACGGCGAAGGCGGCCAACUGGUCCGAUACUGACGCUGAGACACGAAAGCGUGGGGAGCGAACAGG
rnacentral:misc_RNA from 1 species